UACGUAGGGUGCAAGCGUUAAUCGGAAUUACUGGGCGUAAAGCGUGCGCAGGCGGUUUUGUAAGUCUGUCGUGAAAUCCCCGGGCUCAACCUGGGAAUUGCGAUGGAGACUGCAAGGCUAGAAUCUGGCAGAGGGGGGGUAGAAUUCCACGUGUGAGCAGUGAAAUGCGUAGAGAUGUGGAGGAACACCGAUGGCGAAGGCAGCCCCCUGGGUCAAGAUUGACGCUCAUGCACGAAAGCGUGGGGAGCAAACGAGGAUACGAAACCCGGGU
rnacentral:rRNA from 1 species